UCAGGACGAACGCUGGCGGCGUGCUUAACACAUGCAAGUCGAGCGAGGCCUUCCCUUCGGGGGAGUGUCCUAGCGGCGAACGGGUGAGUAACACGUGGGCAACCUGCCCUCAGCUCUGGGAUAACUCCAAGAAAUUGGGGCUAAUACCGGAUAUGACCGCUGACCGCAUGGUCUGGUGGUGGAAAGAUUUAUCGGCUGGGGAUGGGCCCGCGGCCUAUCAGCUUGUUGGUGGGGUAGUGGCCUACCAAGGCGACGACGGGUAGCCGGCCUGAGAGGGUGACCGGCCACACUGGGACUGAGACACGGCCCAGACUCCUACGGGAGGCAGCAGUGGGGAAUAUUGCGCAAUGGGCGGAAGCCUGACGCAGCGACGCCGCGUGGGGGAUGACGGCCUUCGGGUUGUAAACCUCUUUCAGCAGGGACGAAGCGAAAGUGACGGUACCUGCAGAAGAAGCACCGGCCAACUACGUGCCAGCAGCCGCGGUAAUACGUAGGGUGCAAGCGUUGUCCGGAAUUAUUGGGCGUAAAGAGCUCGUAGGCGGUUUGUUGCGUCGGCUGUGAAAUCCCGAGGCUCAACCUCGGGUCUGCAGUCGAUACGAGCAAACUAGAGUGUUGCAGGGGAGACUGGAAUUCCUGGUGUAGCGGUGAAAUGCGCAGAUAUCAGGAGGAACACCGGUGGCGAAGGCGGGUCUCUGGGCAACAAC
rnacentral:rRNA from 1 species